rnacentral:rRNA from 1 species
UACGGAGGAUGCAAGCGUUAUCCGGAAUGAUUGGGCGUAAAGCGUCCGCAGGCGGCUAUGUAAGUCUGCUGUUAAAGAGUCUAGCUCAACUAGAUAAGAGCAGUGGAAACUACAAGGCUAGAGUACGUUCGGGGCAGAGGGAAUUCCUGGUGUAGCGGUGAAAUGCGUAGAGAUCAGGAAGAACACCAGUGGCGAAGGCGCUCUGCUAGGCCGUAACUGACACUGAGGGACGAAAGCUAGGGGAGCGAAUGGG